UUCGGAUCGGACCCACUUCAGUUCGAGUCAAAUCCUUUAGGUAGUGCUUGGUUCGGAAACAAAGGGGGGAAUAAGCCCUUGUUCCCCCCUUUGUUCCCAAACGGUAUGUUUAGUUCCCGGGAACAGUAGUUCCCGGGUUCUUGGAACAAGCUGGUAUAAGGCUGGAACUGCUGUUCCACCCGUUUCCUGGAACUAGCUUGUUCCUUGAUGAGAACAAGGUUAAUUAAAAUCUAAAUUUAAUUUUAAUGACAGUAAAUUAUUAAUUAAUCUAAUUAAUAUAUUUAAAUCUUUAUUUAUUACUUUAAUAAUUAAAUAAUUAAAUAAUUUAUUAUUUAUAAUUAAAUAUUAAUAAUUAGAUAAUUAUUAUUAUUAAUUUAUUAUUUAUAAUUAAUUAUUAAUGAAUUAAUAAUAUUUAUUAUUAUUUAUUAAUAAUUAUUAUUUUUAAUAAUAAUCAAUAUUAUUAAUAAUUUAUUAUUUAUAAUUAAUAAUAAUUAAUAAUAUUUAUUAAUAAUUAAUAUUUAUUAAUAAUUAUUAAUAAUAAUUAUUAUUUAUUAAUAAAUAUUAAUAUUAAUUAUUAUUAAUAAUUAGAUAAUCAAUAUUAUUAUUAAUUUAUUAUUUAUAAUUAAUUAAUAAGAAUAAUUAAUAAUUAUUAUUAUUUAUUAAUAAUUAAUAAUAAUAAUAAUUAUUAUUAUUAAUUAGAUAAUCGAUAUUAUUAAUUUAUUAUUUAUAAUUAAUUACUAAUAAUAAUUAUUAUUUAUAAUUAAUGAUUAAUAACUAAUUUAUUAUUUAUUUUUUAAUAAUAUUUUGAUGUUAAUUAAUUACAUAAUAUAAUUUUAAUUUCAAAUUAUAACUCUUAUUCCUCUUGUUCCAAUCUAACCAUCCAAACACUAUUUACCUUAUUCCUAGAACAACCCAAUUUUCAUCCAAACACAAAAUUGGUCUAGUUCCUACGUAUACCUGAACUUGUACCUAUUCCUGGAACUAGCAGUUCUUACUUAUACCCGAACCAAACGUAGCCUUAAGGUUCGGUUCAGAUCGGACCCACUUUGGUUCGAGUCGAAUCCUUUCCGGUUCGGUUCGGAUAGAAUCCACUUUGCUU
rnacentral:lncRNA from 1 species